rnacentral:RNase_P_RNA from 1 species
UGCCGGUCAAGCAGCCGCGGGGAGGUCGGAGAGACAACCGGCCCCUCGAGGAAAGUCCGGACACCGCAGGGCAGGGUGGUCGGGAAGCCGACCCGGGGAAACCCGCGGGAAAGUGCCACAGAAACAAACCGUCUAAGCGCCGGGCCGCACGUGAGCCCGGUGCCGGCAAGGGUGAAAAGGUGCGGUAAGAGCGCACCGGCGUCGCGGUGACGCGGCGGCCAGGCAAACCCCACCCGGUGCAAGGCCAAGCAGGAGCGUCGACGCUGCCCGCCGAGCUCCAGGUAGGCCGCAGGGCGAGAGCCCCGACCGGCGCGGUCGAAGGACCGCCCGGGCGAGAUGGAUGGCUGCUCGAGACAGAAUCCGGCUUAGAGACCGGCUAAGGAA